rnacentral:rRNA from 1 species
GAUGGUUUGGCACCUCGAUGUCGGCUCGUCGCAUCCUGGGGCUGGAGUCGGUCCCAAGGGUUGGGCUGUUCGCCCAUUAAAGCGGUACGCGAGCUGGGUUUAGAACGUCGUGAGACAGUUCGGUCCCUAUCCGCUGUGCGCGUAGGAAUAUUGAGAAGGGCUGUCCCUAGUACGAGAGGACCGGGACGGACGAACCUCUGGUGUGCCAGUUGUUCUGCCAAGGGCAUGGCUGGUUGGCUACGUUCGGGAGGGAUAACCGCUGAAAGCAUCUAAGCGGGAAGCCUGCUUCGAGAUGAGUGUUCCCACCUCCUUGAGAGGGUAAGGCUCCCAGUAGACGACUGGGUUGAUAGGCCGGAUAUGGAAGCCCUGUAAGGGGUGGAGUUGACCGGUACUAAUAGGCCGAGGGCUUGUCCUCAGUUG